rnacentral:rRNA from 1 species
AGAUGGCGACCGGCGCACGGGUGAGUGACACGUAUCCAACCUGCCGAUAACUCGGGGAUAGCCUUUCGAAAGAAAGAUUAAUACCCGAUGGUAUAAUCAGACCGCAUGGUUUGAUUAUUAAAGAAUUUCGGUUAUCGAUGGGGAUGCGUUCCAUUAGGCAGUUGGUGAGGUAACGGCUCACCAAACCUUCGAUGGAUAGGGGUUCUGGGAGGAAGGUCCCCCACAUUGGAACUGAGACACGGUCCAA